UACGUCGGGGGCUAGCGUUGUCCGGAUUUAUUGGGCGUAGAGAGCGUGUAGGCGGCCAGAUAGGUCUGAUGUGAAAGCCCACGGCUCAACCGUGGAGGGUCAUUGGAAACUGGGGGACUUGAGUACAGAAGAGAAGAGUGGAAUUCCACGUGUAGCGGUGAAAUGCGUAGAGAUGUGGAGGAACACCAGUGGCGAAGGCGGGUCUCUGGGCCGAUACUGACGCUGAGGAGCGAAAGCGUGGGGAGCGAACAGG
rnacentral:rRNA from 1 species